rnacentral:rRNA from 1 species
UAGGUCAGCGGCGGACGGGUGAGUAACACGUGGGUAACCUGCCUGUAAGACUGGGAUAACUCCGGGAAACCGGGGCUAAUACCGGAUGCUUGAUUGAACCGCAUGGUUCAAUCAUAAAAGGUGGCUUUUAGCUACCACUUGCAGAUGGACCCGCGGCGCAUUAGCUAGUUGGUGAGGUAACGGCUCACCAAGGCGACGAUGCGUAGCCGACCUGAGAGGGUGAUCGGCCACACUGGGACUGAGACACGGCCCAGACUCCUACGGGAGGCAGCAGUAGGGAAUCUUCCGCAAUGGACGAAAGUCUGACGGAGCAACGCCGCGUGAGUGAUGAAGGUUUUCGGAUCGUAAAACUCUGUUGUUAGGGAAGAACAAGUACCGUUCGAAUAGGGCGGUACCUUGACGGUACCUAACCAGAAAGCCACGGCUAACUACGUGCCAGCAGCCGCGGUAAUACGUAGGUGGCAAGCGUUGUCCGGAAUUAUUGGGCGUAAAGCGCGCGCAGGCGGUUUCUUAAGUCUGAUGUGAAAGCCCCCGGCUCAACCGGGGAGGGUCAUUGGAAACUGGGGAACUUGAGUGCAGAAGAGGAGAGUGGAAUUCCACGUGUAGCGGUGAAAUGCGUAGAGAUGUGGAGGAACACCAGUGGCGAAGGCGACUCUCUGGUCUGUAACUGACGCUGAGGCGCGAAAGCGUGGGGAGCG